rnacentral:rRNA from 1 species
UAGGAGCCCCGGGGGGCCGCAGAGAAAUGGCCCAGGCGACUGUUUAGCAAAAACACAGCACUAUGCAAACCUCUAAGGGGAAGUAUAUGGUGUGACGCCUGCCCAAUGCCAAAAGGUUAAAGGGAUAUGUCAGCUGCAAAGCGAAGCAUUGAACCUAAGCCCUGGUGAAUGGCCGCCGUAACUAUAACGGUGCUAAGGUAGCGAAAUUCCUUGUCGGGUAAGUUCCGACCUGCACGAAUGGUGUAACGAUCUGGGCACUGUCUCAACGAAAGACUCGGUGAAAUUGUAGUAGCAGUGAAGAUGCUGUUUACCCGCGAAAGGACGAAAAGACCCCGUGAACCUUUACUGUACUUUGGUAUUGAUUUUUGGUUUGUUAUGUGUAGGAUAGCCAGGAGACUAAGAACACUCUUCUUCAGGAGAGUGGGAGUCAACGUUGAAAUACUGGUCUUAACAAGCUGGGAAUCUAACAUUAUUCCAUGAAUCUGGAAGAUGGACAUUGCCAGACGGGCAGUUUUACUGGGGCGGUAUCCUCCUAAAAAGUAACGGAGGAGCCCAAAGCUUAUUUCAUCGUGGUUGGCAAUCACGAGUAGAGCGUAAAGGUAUAAGAUAGGUUGACUGCAAGACCAACAAGUCGAGCAGAGACGAAAGUCGGGCUUAGUGAUCCGGCGGUGGAAAGUGGAAUCGCCGUCGCUUAACGGAUAAAAGGUACUCCGGGGAUAACAGGCUGAUCGCCACCAAGAGUUCAUAUCGACGUGGCGGUUUGGCACCUCGAUGUCGGCUCAUCGCAUCCUGGGGCUGGAGAAGGUCCCAAGGGUUUGGCUGUUCGCCAAUUAAAGCGGUACGCGAGCUGGGUUCAAAACGUCGUGAGACAGUUUGGUCUCUAUCCUUCGUGGGCGCAGGAUACUUGAGAGGAGCUGUUCCUAGUACGAGAGGACCGGAAUGGACGAACCAAUGGUGUGUCGGUUGUUUUGCCAAGGGCAUAGCCGAGUAGCUACGUUCGGAAAGGAUAAGCAUUGAAAGCAUCUAAAUGCCAAGCCUCCCUCAAGAUAAGGUAUCCCAAUGAGAC